GGGGGGGCGGAGAGGCGGGGGGGAAGAGGGGGAAAUCCCUUUUAGUUUUGCGAUUAGGCUGCCAGGCUUUGAAAAGGGCUUAAAAACAAAGUCAUGCUCAGCCUUUUGUAGGAGAGAUCCAGAUGUUAUGUAGAUUUUUUUGGUUUUUUUUUUUUUUGUGCAUGUUCAUUUGGGAGCGGAUCCGGCGGUGAGCGCUGUAUGUCCGUGUGUACGUUGCUGGACUUUGCCAUAUAUCGACGUCGCGUUUGUGGAAUGUAUGCUGGAGUAUUAGCUCGAGGAUCUCCUCCAAGAUUAAAGCUAGUCCUAAGAGCAACCGAAUUGCUGUGACUGACUUUCACGGGACUGUAAAGAGAGGGCUAUGUGUGUUUAAAGAGAUGCUGAAGAGAUUUCUGAGUUCACGGGGAAGAAGGAAAGGUUGGUUUGGGGAACGGCAGCGCGCCUGGCAGGAGAUGGUUUCCUCAGUGUGUGGCAAGUGUUUCUUCAAGAAAUUCAUCAGCCCUUCUACAAUUACUUCGAGCUCCGAGGGAAGAGAGCUGCCAUCACUUUCUCACAUCCCAAGGUGUUGCAUGGAGGAGAGAAGAAAAGGCUGGCGCANNNNNNNNNNAAGGCUGUACCUGGAAAAGAAAAACCUGCAAGGGUAUAUUUGGAAGACGUGUGCCAUUCAGAGAUGGGGAAAAGUACCCCAUCUUGUGCAGUAAUUAGUCUGAACAAUAAACAUAAUUGGAAUAAAAUCA
rnacentral:lncRNA from 1 species